ACUCUGAAGUGUUUUAUUAUGGGUAUGCAGGCUAGCAGAUGCAAAACACAUUUUGGAGGACACUCUGAGGCGCUGGCCAGAAAAUGGGUUUGCUCAGGUUCACUAUGGCUUUAUCCUCAAGACUAGCGACAACAAUAAUGAGGCUGCAGUAGAUUACUUGACGCAGGGCAUUGCUACAAGGGAACCAGGCACCCUUGAUGGACGUUUCUUCUUCCAUUUAGGUGAUGCCCUCACGAGACUUGGCCGUCAUGAAGAGGCUGGCAAGAUUUAUGACCUGGGAGUGAGGGAGGGGCUGUUCCUGUCAAAGUAUCAACGUUCCUUGUAUAAUGUCAAUAGACUCCGAGCACAACCGUGGUGGACACCAGAGGAGACAACUUACUCGAAAUAUUUCAAUAUAAUCGUUCGAUUCCCGACGGGGGCAGAGGAU